rnacentral:lncRNA from 1 species
GGGCACAAGAACCACCGACGAUGAUAGAUCUAGAGCUGGCCGUGGCCUGGCCUUGAGCGUCUUGCCGGUGGUCGCUCGAGUAUCUUCUUCCUCAUUCGCUUGCAGCGACGUCGAGGCCACCCCGGAGGCCAGGCUGGCGGGGCCUCCGACGAGCUCCAUCUGGCGGGGGGCGACGGUGAUUGAGGGAUUUGGCAAGCCAGCGCAGUUUGCGUCAGACGGUUGGGAUCCAAUUGGUUUCCGCUAAGGUUUGAAUCCCCCCCCCCCUUCCUUUCAAGCACAGGUGCCAUGUAUUAUUAAGUUGAUCCAAAGGGCUGAUUUGAGUGUUUUCAACAUGGCAGAUGCGACCAACGGACGCACAUCUUGAGUAAGGGCUACAACCAGAAAACGAAAAUUCAGUCAUGAGUGUGGGUUAGCAGCUUCAGAAUUGAAAAAGUGAUUUAAGUUCUUUCCUCUUGAAUUAGAAAGAAAAAAGAGAAAGGAAAAUUCAGUACUGGGUCUGUUGCCGGUUCC